UGUAAUUUAAAAGAGUUGGCGACAGGGGGCAGUGUCUAGGUGCGUGUGGUGAAGUGCGCAUGCGUCACAUAGGCGUGUGAGACGUGUUAAGUGCAGUGCGAGAGGGAGACGCACUCGUAUGGGAAUUUGCAAGCAUUUUCGAGCAUCCCGUGACAUACAAGGAUAUAUGUAGGCUGGUUUUGAACCGUGCAACUGAGAUCUUUGAAAGGUUGUCACUGCCUUUGUGGUGAUUGAGGAGGUCAUCAUUAUCCUGGAAACCGUCAGUUAACGAGUGCGUUAACAAGCAAACAAAGCUGGCAGAAGAAAUGUCCAGAAAGGGAAAGAGCAUCAAAGACUUCCUCGACUCAAAUGGGAUGAAGAUGCCGCCAGGUGAAGAUCCAGUACAGCUUAUCUCAGUCAUUGCGAAAUUCUUCAAGGAAAAGCCUGAUCUCCUUUUCUACCAAAGUGAGGAGUCAACUGCUGCUGGACUGAGCAUCCCAAGCAACCUUGCAUCCUUAUCAUGGGUAUGUAAUCUGUUUAAUAUUUAGGCAUGCAUGUUAUGGAUUUCACUUACUCUUAUUCCUACUCUUACUCUUUACUCCUACUCUUUACUCUUCUACUCUUUCUCCUAGUCUUGCUCUUUACUCCUACUCUUUACUCUUCUAUUCUUACUCCUAGUCUUGCUCUUUACUCCUACUCUUUACUCUUCUACUCUUACUCCUAGUCUUGCUCUUUACUCCUACCCUUACUCUUACUCUUUACUCGAUCCAGAAGUUGUCAAUGACCAUAUCAACUCCCUCAUUGUGGCCCUGAGAUACGCUUUCUCUCUGUAAUGGAACAAUACACUAAUUGGAUUUAUGAGGAUUUUCCAUCUCAACUUGGUCUGCAUGUUUCUCUGUCAGUUUCAUUCAUUUCAUUACUAGCUAAAAAAAUCAAUUUUUUAAGAGUUUUCCUGGGAAUCAAUCCUGAACGAGGGUCAAAGGCCGAGAAGAAGGGGGCCAAACACCAGCACAUUCUUCCAAGACUGCUGAAGUUCCGGUUUGAAAUGAACUCCUGUUUGAACUGUUUUAUUGUUGAUGAUGAUUUUUGCCAUAUAUUUGGAAAUAUUUAUAAAAAAAGUUUAAAAGCUGUUUGACUUGUUUGUGACCACCUUUUGAUGCAACACCAUUAUUGUCUUGUUAAUAAUGAAUGUAUCGUUGUUUACUCCGUUUGUUGCUGUUUAAACAAUCUUCUACAAAAUGAGCACUUUUUAAUGGUGCUUUGCACAUAGUUCAAUGAAUUGUCAUAGAAUGUAUUGUUUUUAGUCUGUUAUGAUAGAUUUCCUGUAGCACAGUGGUAAAAGCACUGCGUUAACAACACAAGGUUGUGGGUUCGAUCCCUGGGGAUUGCAAAUACCUAUGUAAAAUGUAUAGGAUAAAGCAAUGUAAGUCACUUUGGAUAAAAGCGUCUGCCAAAUGCCUGAAUGUAAAUAUAACAUUAUGAUAUUAUAUAAUCUUCCUCUCCAUUCUCCUACAAACAAAUAUUUAUAUAUUUAUAAUGUUUUUUUUUUAUUCUGUUUGUUGCUGUUUUAAAGCAAACUGUCUGAUCCAAAACAUGGUGCUUUGAAUAUUGUUAAAAUAAUUCCUAAAACUUGUCAUUUUAAAAUGUAGCCAUCGAAUGCACUUUUAUGCAUAUCCUUCAUGGCAUAAAAAAAAUAAACAUGUUCAAUGUA